GAUGCAGAUUUGGAUUUUCUAUUUCAUAGUUAUUGAAAUCAUAAUGAGAAUGAAGUACUGCCACUAAGGUAAAGGUGCUAACUUGCAAGGAGCUGUUCUCAAAACAUUGGGUGACAAAGAAUUCACUUUUACAAAAAUCGAGCAGGAUAUUAAAGACAGCGAACUAUAGAACAAAUAUGGCGAAGCUGCAUGAAGUCUAUGUUGAAUUUUAU